rnacentral:rRNA from 1 species
GCCUAACACAUGCAAGUCGAACGAGAAUCUUUGAACAGAACUUUUCGGAGUGACGUUCAAAGAGGAAAGUGGCGAACGGGUGAGUAAUGCGUGACCGACCUGCCCCAUACACCGGAAUAGCUCCUGGAAACGGGUGGUAAUGCCGGAUGCUCCGACAUGACGCAUGUCGUGUUGGGAAAGAUUCUAUCGGUAUGGGGAUGGGGUCGCGUCCUAUCAGGUAGUCGGCGGAGUAACGGCCCCACCGAGCCUA